rnacentral:rRNA from 1 species
GACGUAGGGCGCGAGCGUUGUCCGGAUUUAUUGGGCGUAAAGAGCUCGUAGGCGGCUUGUUGCGUCGACCGUGAAAACCCGCGGCUUAACUAUGGGCUUGCGGUCGAUACGGGCACCACUGGAGUUCGGCAGGGGAGACUGGAAUUCCUGGUGUAGCGGUGAAAUGCGCAGAUAUCAGGAGGAACACCGGUGGCGAAGGCGGGUCUCUGGGCCGAUACUGACGCUGAGGAGCGAAAGCGUGGGGAGCGAACAGG